CCGCCCACCACCACUGCGACUCUCAUUGGCCUCGCCGCGCACCCACGUGAUCGUGGCUAUUCAAGAGCCGGGAGCGCAGCCCGCGCCUUCCUUUCGCGUACUCUGACGUCACCACUUCUCGCCUUUCAGUCCGCGGCCAGAAGUUGCGCAUGCGCAGCCUGAGAAGUCGGAAUAGGCGGUGCUUGCCGCGGCCGCUGCGGAGCUGCGGAGCGGUUCGCGGUUCUUGGGCGCACGGACACUCAUGGCGCUGCCUGGGAGGCCAUUCGCACUAAAAAGAUUUCUGCCAUCUAUUCCGCCUCGGGAACUUACACAGCAGAGUGAAUCAGCAGCAGCCUCCAAUUUCAGAUCCAUCCAGAUGAGAAUAUAUGAUUGGUCAGAAGAUGUGGUGAACCACCUAGACAGCUUCAGCUAUUGAAAGAACAGCUUUUCCCAAUAACCAGAGCUGCAAGAACUUCCCGGACCUUCCAUCUGAGGAGGCUUGAAGCACAUCAGAAGAUUCUUCACAAAAAACCCGCCUGCCUUGUCUUCACGUCUUACAAGCACAAAUCGUUCCCACAAUUGAACUGUACAAACAUAUAACUAAAAACGUUACCUUUAAGGUACACAUUAUAGAGAAAAAACCUGUUAGUGUUUCCCUGAGCUGUAAUACGGGAGAAAGCCAGCAACUGUUUUUGCAAAGAGAAGGCUAAGCAGACAUGUCCAUCACAUUUCAAGCAUCUAAGUGGGGGAACAUUCACCGGACAUAUACGUCACCUUACUACUAAAACCUUUCACUGUAGGGUUCACACUUGACCCACAGGAGUUUGGUGUGAAAUUACCACUGGAAGAUCCAGAAAUAGUUUAUUAAUGUUUCCCUUGAGAAGUGUGAACAGUGUCAGCACAGACAGUUGUGGAGUAUAGUUGUUUCUGUCGUGAGCAGAAAUAGUUGGGUAGAGUGCUGUUUUAAAAGGCAGUAUCCUCCACACCCUUUACUCAGUGUAAGAGAAUGUCUACUUUUCUUCCCAGCAUGGAGGCAAAGCCAAGAGGGACAGUAGUAAAGUGCCAAAACUGCAAACAUUAUAGAGGAGGACUGUACUGAUAAAGUUAAAGAGAAAACGAGUCACUUCUGCUUUAAAAAGAAGGCAUAGAUACACUGCAAGUGCAAAGGCAACAUCCAUGAAAAUAUUCUGCCUUCCCCACUACCUGACAGGUACUCAAAUUACCUCAUUCUGACAUGUUUAGCUAAAAGAAUUAGCCACUCUGGAAGGAGCCAAGGGUACAUAAUAGAACUGUAAAUUAAAUAUGAAGAAAGUCAAAAUAAAUGCCCAUCGGGGUUCAAGACCAGGGUACAGGCAGCAGGAGAAAAAUCAGAGGCACCAAGACCAGGGCAACAGGCAGAAACAGAGGCAAGAGUCCAAAGUCCAGUGGUGGACUUGAGGCGAGGCAUAGUCCAAAGUCCAGUGUUGAAAUCUAAUAGCAAAGUCCAAGUCGUAAUCACAAAAUAGGCCUGGGUCAGGAACUGGAAGCGUAUAUCAGGACAAAACAAGGAUGUGGUCAUGAACAUGCCAAGGGUCAAGAACCAGGAAGAGAAACACAGGUGCAAGUAUCUUGAGGCAGGAUGCACGGCAAGGCAACACACAGGAGCUAAACUGCAGCUAGCAGACAAACCUGCAUUCCUGAGGCAACAUGGCAAGGCAGGGUACAACAGGAACCAAAUGUGCCAAGGGUCAGGCAAGGUGCAGGAGCUGAACCACACCAUGGCCAGCAAGAGGAGCCCUGUCACUGAGCAGGGCAGGACACAGGUCAGGCAAGAGGAAGGCACUACAGAAACAAAAGCCCUAUGUUGCUAGGCUUUAAAAAAUGUGCUUGCAUAGUUCUUCCCCAGCUGGUACUUGUCAGGAGGUUGAGAGCUCCAGCAGGGCCUGAGACUGAUCCUGAGAUACUAAGGUGUGCUUCUGGUUCUGAUCAUCGGGUGAAGCCCCAAACCAGCCUAGAUCCUGACAAUGCCACUUAGUGCAAACUCUGUCUACACCAUCAGAUGCUCAGCAGGAUUACUGAACCACAAUACAGGAAGCCAUAUGCUAGCACAGAGGCUCCUUGCGGGUUUAUACACUUUGAAGCCAUGUAUAGAAUGCUUUUUUUCUUCCUUGACUACACACCAGAACCACUUGACAUACAGUUAGUUCCAAGGCAUAACUGAGAUAACAAAUGGAUUUAAACAUGAAAAACCCAACUGUAAGCCUGAGCAUGGAGUGAAUGUAGAUCGUCAUGGAACCAUGGGUUUUUGAAACCAUGGUUCAAGCCCUGAUCAAACCAUGGUUUGUUAGCCAUGAACAAUUCAUAAAGAGAAUGCUUGGUUGGUUGUUGGCUUGUUAGCUGUGGGCUGUUUAUCAGUUUCUUAUCUUGGCUUGGCUGACACAACACAAUAACCCAUAGUUCAGGAUACACUCAACCUUUAAGCAUGGGUUACUGUCUUGCCUGAACCCACCCAGUGAGACUUGCUAUAUCAGCAUGAUUCAGCAGGUACAUAGAGCCAAACUCAUAUAUAUCCCACCAGUGGCUCCAAAACCUAUCAGUAUGCUUGCAAAAGCUAGUGCGAUAGCUUAGGGGUACACAGAACUACAAAGACUUUCUCUUUGAGAAGAAAAACUUUAGCGCAAGCUACAAUUUACAGAGCUCCCACUAAAAGUUUCUUGAAGAUAUAGGAAAGGUCAAGGCAAAGCCCAUGUUUAACUUAAGUUCAAGAUCAAAUAUCAUCAAGGGUGUGUGCGGCACCAGACAAGUUCCUUCCUAGGAAUAACUGAGGUGCCACUGUUGAUUUAUGCAUAACCUCUUGAACUCAGUCUUCAUGUAUGACGCAGCAGCUUGUCUGUCUGGGAAAUUAUUGGUUAUAGAUCGAAGGCAUUGAGAGACUGAGUGGAAGAACUGAGUGGAAGUGGAAGAUAAGAAACAAUAAUGAACAAUUGUACAACUGCUUUAAUUUUUGGUGUACUUUAUUUAAAACGUAUUUCAGUUAGCAAUUACACAAAACUGCUUCUACAGAUGUGAUAAUUCCUUUUGUUUUUGAAUUUAUAGCAUGGAAGUUCAGCAGUGUCCUGUGAACUCUGUCAUGUUUGCAAAUCCACAGAUUGCAUCUGUUGCAUUUACAAGAGUCAGUGUGGUAUAGUGGCUCAGGUGUGGCACUGGGACACAGAAAAUAUGGGUUCUGUUACCCAUUCAGCUAUGAAGAUCUGGUGACUCUGAAUCAGUCACUGACUUUCACUCUAACCUACCUCACAGGGUUGUUCCUAACUCACAGGGUUCUUGUGAGGAUGAAAUAGGAUUAUGUAAGCUGUCUUGGGUUUCUUGCAGGAAAUAAGGUAGGCUAUAAAUACAAUAAAUAAAAUAAAUAUCACCAUGUCACAAGCUUUGCACUGUUUGGAAACUGACUGUGAAUGCUGUAUUGACAAGGAUAGGUUUGCCCAUAGUACAUAGCUCCAAUUUUAUACUAUCCAUAGUGGCUUUCGUUUCCUACAAUGUGCCCAGAGUUACAGAAAACUCUGCUGAUAGCACUUUAUACAGCCUGCCAGCUUCUGUCAUACAGUUUUAUCCUUUUUGUUUUACUAGAUUAGUUGUCAAGAAUAUGUUCUUUGGGUCUAUUUGCUGGAUUUUUUGCUUUAAUGUCCAAUAUUGCCAAUGGAAAAUAGGACAAGAUACUAAUAUUUUUUAAUAAAUAAAAGACUUGUAAUGGGUUAGCAGAGUCUGACCACUACCGGUACUUGGGGAGUCAUUAUUCAAGGAAGCCUGUCAGGCCUGUGCUUAGUUGCUAGUUUUCAAAACCCAAUUAAGAGCUUCCUGUUUAGAUAGUUUGCACUUCUUUCUUGUUUUCAUGUUGAUGACUGCUGUUUCACUGACUGUUUUAAAAUUCUUUUCAUUGACUGUAUUUCUUACAUUCUGUUUCAAUUGCAAUGUAAAGUCAUUUAGACAAGAACUUACAGGCAAGGCAUUCAUUUUAAGUGAGACUGAUAAAGGAGAUCAAAAUAACUCCAGUAUUUUGUUGUUCUUCUGGUCCCUGCAUUGAAUAUAGAAUAAAUUUCUACAGUGCUACAGUAUCCCUGCUUUAUGAGUACAGAGUAACUCAAUUCUCUUCUUGCUUUCUGAAGCUUAGGAGACCAAGAAGCAGGCAACUGAGACAUGGCGUUAAACUUCAGAACUGCUGAAAUUUUGUUUUAGUUGUGCUAUGUGUUCAUAAUGGAAGAAUGCACAAAUUGCAUAAAUUUACAAGUGCCUUUGAAUAGCAGGAAAACUCUGCUUAGGUUUUUAUUAUUUGCUAGAUUAAUAAUUCUACCAAAUAGAUAGUGCUCAGGGUGGGUGUUAGUCACAGAUAGUACUGCAACUAAGCCAAAGUAUACAUACCUGAAAUAAUCAUAUUCUUCCCCUGUUUACUGCAUUACUGUUUUCUGCUGUCAUUUCCUGUUUGUUUAUUUUUAGGAUGUAAGUUCAGGGAGGUAAAUGCCCUUCAAACUUGACAUUUGUAAAAAUUUCUAUAUAAUUGAUUAUGAAUAAAAGCCCAGGCCAAAUGUUA